GGGCUGCACACGAGGGGUUCAACUCAACCAACGGCGUCUACACACUUUGCAAAAAACAGAGGGGAAAUGAAUGAAUGAAACAGACCCGCUCAGAUCAGGACCCAUCAGGGCGAUCGGCAGCGCAGAUGUGAUCGGCAGCUGGGGUCUGUGGAGGCCUCAGGGCCGGCGGCGGAGACCUCUCUACAGGCAGCUGGCCGGUGGACCGGGAGCCUUGCAAAGGGGGGCUCUGCAUUGCGGCCGAAUUGGAAAUUCGUCCUGGGAAGGCCCCAGGUCACCGGUGGCCCCACCUCAGUCAUUCCCUCCGAGCCAACCCCAGAAGGGCAUCAGUCAUCAAACUCCACCAAGAGUUCCAGGUCCCUGGGGCCUCAGCUCUACCCCAGCUUCCUGGGGGGAUGAAAACAUGCACACCUGCACCUGGAACCCAACCGAGAGCCUGAUGCCCAGGGAAGGGCAGUCAUGAAACGUCACCGGCGUGCCAACACCGGGGCAGUUUGGUCAGGUAAAGGCAACCAGUGCAGAGAAGCCCCCCAAACCGGGCCUGGCUCGUAAAGCCCCCGCAGCCUGUAGGCUCCGCUCCUGCCCCUCCGGCCCCAGGCCACCCCCGCUCCUUGGGCUGACGUGGUUAACACUCACAACCCAAACACUUGUUCAAAGCCCUGUUUGACCUGAAGUGGGCUCAGGCGUGGAGGCUCUGAGCCUAAAAGUCGCACCCCAGACUCAGAGGUGACAUUCUCAAGUGACAUUCUUGUUUGGUUUUUUUUUUUUCUUUUUUUUUUGAUUAUAAAAAAG